rnacentral:rRNA from 1 species
CCUACGGGUGGCAGCAGUGAGGAAUAUUGGUCAAUGGACGAGAGUCUGAACCAGCCAAGUCGCGUGAAGGAUGACUGCCCUAUGGGUUGUAAACUUCUUUUAUAAAGGAAUAAAACGAGGCACGUGUGCCUUUUUGCAUGUACUUUAUGAAUAAGCAUCGGCUAACUGCGUGCCAGCCGCCGCGGUAAUACGGAGGAUCCGAGCGUUAUCCGGAUUUAUUGGGUUUAAAGGGAGUGGAGAGGGGUUGUUAAGUCAGUUGGGAAAGUUAGGGGGUAAAACGAAAAAUAGAAAGGGAUACUGGCAGUCGUGAGUAGAUUGAGGGUAGGCGGAAUG